rnacentral:rRNA from 1 species
UACGAAGGGGGCUAGCGUUGCUCGGAAUUACUGGGCGUAAAGCGCACGUAGGCGGAUUGUUAAGUCGGGGGUGAAAUCCUGGAGCUCAACUCCAGAACUGCCUUCGAAACUGGCGAUCUUGAGUUCGGGAGAGGUGAGUGGAACUGCGAGUGUAGAGGUGAAAUUCGUAGAUAUUCGCAAGAACACCAGUGGCGAAGGCGGCUCACUGGCCCGAUACUGACGCUGAGGCACGAAAGCGUGGGGAGCAAACAGG